UGAAUAACACUACUUUCUAAACACAUAUU
rnacentral:sRNA from 1 species